rnacentral:rRNA from 1 species
UACGAAGGGGGCUAGCGUUGUUCGGAAUUACUGGGCGUAAAGCGCACGUAGGCGGAUAUUAAGUCAGGGGUGAAAUCCCAGAGCUCAACUCUGGAACUGCCUUUGAUACUGGGUAUCUUGAGUAUGGAAGAGGUAAGUGGAAUUGCGAGUGUAGAGGUGAAAUUCGUAGAUAUUCGCAGGACACCAGUGGCGAAGGCGCUUGCCAGAAUGCGCUCGA